rnacentral:tRNA from 1 species
UCCCUGGUGGUACAGUGGUUAGAACUUGGUGCUUUCACCAUGGUGGCCCAGGUUCAAUCCCUGGUUGGGGAA